UACGAAGGGGGCUAGCGUUGUUCGGAAUACUGGGCGUAAAGCGCGCGCAGGCGGUUCUUUAAGUCAGGGGUGAAAGCCCAGAGCUCAACUCUGGAAUUGCCUUUGAAACUAGAGAACUUGAGUACGGGAGAGGUGAGUGGAAUUCCGAGUGUAGAGGUGAAAUUCGUAGAUAUUCGGAAGAACACCAGUGGCGAAGGCGGCUCACUGGCCCGUUACUGACGCUCAGGCGCGACAGCGUGGGGAGCAAACAGG
rnacentral:rRNA from 1 species